rnacentral:rRNA from 1 species
CGCAAUGGACGAAAGUCUGACGGAGCAACGCCUCGUGAGUGAGGAAGGCCUUCGGAUUGUAAAACUCUUUUGUUUGGGAAGAACGGUGCUAGUUGAUAACUUGGUGUUUUUGCCUUUCCCUAACAAGAAACCCCCGCCAAAUUCCUUGCCACCACCCCCGUUAUAACAUAGGUGCCAACCUUUAUCCGAAUUUAUGGGCCUUAAACCCCCCUAAGUUGUUUUCCUAAUUCUAAGUUAAAUCCCCACGCUUCACCCGUGAACUGCCUCUGAAAACUGGGAGACUUGAGUGCAUAAAAGGAAAUGGAAAUUCCUUGUGUACCGUUAAAUUGCUUAAAGAUAUAAAGAAACACCAUUGCCAAAGGCAACUUUCUGAUCUGUAAUUGACCUUGAGUCCCAAAACCUUGGGAACCAAACAGAAUUAUAACCGGUACCACGCCGUAAACGAUGAGUGCUAAGCCUUAGAGGGUUUCCGCCCUUUAGUGCUGAAGUUAACGCAUUAAGCACUUUGCCUGGGGAGUACGGCCGCAAGGCUGAAACUCAAAGGAAUUGACG